AUCAUAUCCUGUCGAGUGCCAGAUAGUUAUAGGGGCCAGCAAGUGCCAGAGGACGACACUUGAUCAACCAGUGUGAUUACCAUCUCCAAGACUUGUGCUCGAUUUGUUCUUGAGGCAGAAAAGCGUCUUUGUGCUUAAUGAGGAGAUAAUUAAUUUAAUUUAUACCUCAAUUGUGUUGAUAUUCAAAGUCUGAAAAAUAUGAGAGCUUAAAGGUGUCGCCAACCAAACCCUCGACUUGAAGCGCAGCUGUAUACAAUAAAUUUUGUCUGUUGAAAAUUUUGAAUAGUCUUAAACAUUAUACUAUAUAAAACAGAUUUUCUUAAUUGAAUUAUAGUAGAAUAGGUUAUUAGCGCAGCAAAUUCAUUAAUGACAGUCCUAGUCGAUGUUUGAUCAUUGACGUUAAGGCUGAACUUGGUGAGAUCAGCUGUGUCGUGUUUUGAUUCUUGUCACAAGUUAUUUAACCAUGGAGGAGGUGAGUAGGGAGACUUAGUUCCAUCAGAUCACUGUCGCACAGUCACCAUGAGUGCCUAAACGUCGCCAGCGCCGCCAGAGUGCUCUAGUACUCGCCACAACGCCAGAAUAAAAUAUAAUGUAAUGUUGCCCCUGGUCCGCCAGUAAAGACGGAGGGGGCAAGCUUCCCCGUGCUCGGGCCGAACAAGACGAGGCUUUUCCUCGCCUCACAGCCCUCCCGGCCUUGUAGUCACUUGUAAGCAGCAUUGUUGCCUCAUUAUUGGUCACUUGCCACGGGGCGUGGUGUUAAAACACGAGACAACUAGUAUAUGGAGGAGUUUUUAACUGUUGAAUGUUUGAGGUUGUUAGUGAGCAUUUUUCCCACUGGAACUGAGAUUGUAACUUCCGCCUGAGGAGACCACCACUACCACUCCCCAGUGUUGUGGUGCAAUACUGGCCCCCUGCUGGUGCUGGCUUGGCACCAGGGCCGCUACCCACACCACACCUGCCAUGUCUUAUUUAGCUUACUACAAGUGUGUGCUUCCGAAGAUGCGUUCACACAACUCGGACGUGUCUUCCCAAGAAGUUCUACCCGACUCGACCCAGGAUCCUGAAGAGGAGUCGCUUCCAGAUUUGAUUCCACCAUUAGCAGAUGAUGAUGAAGCUGCCAGCUCUCCAGCAUCACCAGAACAGGAGAUCGUAGAUGUUGAAUCUUAUCAGCCAUGUGUUGUUGAUCUUACAUGUGAAGAUGAAGAUGAGGUGGAUGUGGUGGAGAUUGUUGCCCAAGAACAACCAGUGAUUCACUGCAAUGACAGUUUGGAUGCCCUACUGGAGCUCAGCCACUGUGAAGUAAUGGCUCUGGAGAGUUGGGGAGGAACGGCUGAGGUACACCAAGACAUCCGGAAAGAAUAUGUGGGGACCGAGCAAAGAAGAAUGACUACUAGACGGCAAAAUGCAAAUGCAAACGCAAACGUUUUGCCUCUUGAAGUAGAGGACCUAACUCUUCCAGAAAGACAAAGUGCCACUGAUAACAACAAUGAAAACAGCAACCAUAAUAAUAAUAAUAAUAAUAAUAAUAAUGCUAUACCAGUGGAAAGACAACCACUUCCAUGGCAUUUUGAAGCUCCCAGUGUAGAUUUUCACAAUCCAAAUCUCCUUUUUGGAAAUCUUCUUGAAGAAGGACCGGUGACAACAGUUGAUGACCAUAACCCUCGCCAUAGACCCAGCCUUUUUAGGCCACGGGUUACCAUAGAGCUUCGCCCUAGUUCAAGGUAUCAGCGUAGCAGAUCCAGAUCACCACAACUUCCAGAUUUUCCUAGAGAUGCUCCUCGAACACCAGAAUUCCUUCAAGAUCUUGACGAGCUACUAGCAGAAGUGGAAAAUAGGAGACCUCUACCUCGUGUGCUUGGCCAGACGGAAAAUCCUCUCACGGCAGCUCAGAUAGUAGCUCAGGAGCACCAUCACAGAGUAGCACAAAUCACUGCCCCAGAGGCUCCUCCCAGUCCACCCCCACCAGAACAGCCCACCAUCUCGUGCCUUGUGUGCUUAGACUCCUUAGCCACCAUACAAAACUCUUCACGUAGUUUGUGCUCAACUGUGUGUGGUCAUGUGUUCUGCUCGUCUUGUAUAGAAGAAGUUGUAAAACAGAGGAAACAGUGUCCAGUUUGCAGGAAAAAGUUAACAAAGAAACAGUAUCAUCCACUUUUCAUUUAAAGACAUAGUAUUUUGAUUGGCAGAAAAAAGGUGGGUGGUUUCGUGUACAGUUAUUUCCUUUAUCACAAGUUAUGCAACUCGUGUGAAAGGAACAGCAAGUGUGCAACUCGGGGAACACACACACACCAAUCAACUUGGUUACCAUUGUCAUGACAGUGCAGCAAAACUUCAUUCUCUAUACAACAUAUUUAGGAGUGUAAAUCAUGUGUUGUAAUGUUUAGAACAUCAAUUGCAGAAUAUUGCAAUGAGUAGCACAAAAGCAUCUAGAAAUUCCUCGCCACAGAUUUUUAUAUUUUCAUUUUUAACAAGUCUCAAAUUCUAUUUAACUUAUUACACAAUUUCUAUAAAUGACUCCAAUGAAAAGCAAAAAUGAAUUUCAUUUGAAGUGUUUUACCAAGAAAUGUGAAAAUAUGGAUUUUUGUGGGAAAAAUACAUUAAAUCCUGCAUUUAGGCAUGUUUUGUGAAUUAGGGUAAUGGUAAUAGCACUUCCAUCAUGUGUACUCUGACAAGUUAUCAUAUUGAUUAAGCCCAAAGAAAUACAUUGUGGUUCCAGUAAACCAACUGACAAUUGGCAGCUGAAUCCCAAAAUUAUUUUAUAGCUUCAUGCAAUCGGUGAAUACUGCAUAGUGUGAGCAGUUGGUUGUUUGCCAGAGUCUGUCAUAACAAAUCAAAACAAAUGUGUGGCUAAUGAUUCUCGGAUUACUGUACUUUGCUCUAUGGAGUGCAAUUAAUGUUCCUAUUUUUAUACACAAGCAUACUUGAUAGCUUGUAAGAUAAUAAAAAGGAAAAAAAUGGAUUGUCACUCCUACCUUAUUGUAUCGUACAUAAGUGGCUCAAUACUCUAUGGUACUCAUGUUUAGAAUGAGUUUUUUUUUUUUUUUUUUUUUUUUUUUCAAAUUGGCAACAAAUAUGCACAGUUGCAUUGACCAGGAUGUUUACUGCGUUUAAUUUUAGCUGUUGGAACAUAAUUUUAUAGGAAAAAUAAAAAAUUAUGAGAAGCCAGUUGUAUUGGUAAUAAUUUUAAUUAAUGCUUUUAAUUCCUUUACACGAGAGCUUUGACCUGCCAUUACUUUAUAAAUUGCAUUUUAAAUAUUGCUAGCGUAAUGCGGUGGCUGACUGCCCACGAACUGGAAAAAAGUUAACAUUCUAACUUGUGUGCUUCUUAAAGUCGUUAAUUUUUCCGAGAGCAAUAUUUUCCAUAUUAAGUUAUGUAAUGCCGCCACACAGGUAGUAUAGUACAGCACAUACUCAUUGGUAUCAGAGUGGAAUUAUUGAAAUUAUAUAAUAUAUGAGACAUAACCAAAAAAUUUUAAAUUUGAAUCUUGUGGGACAAAUGAACUAAAAAUUUAAUUUUGUGAAUUACGUUGAUAUAUUUUGUAAUAAUUAUUGAAACUGUACAAGGAAGUUCACUUGGAGUACAUCAACUUAGAUUUAUUUGUUAGUCUGUCUUGUUGGCCUUCCUUUUCAUACAUCAUUUUGUAUGGUAUACAUUUGACAUUAAUUGCCAGGCUUGAGAGCACAUUUAUAGCCAUACACAGUACUGUAUUAAUAUAUGGCAAUAAAAUAUGUCCACCCAUAAAUAUUCUAAGAACUAUCUUGUGAAACUUCUAUCUUUUGUUAUUUUGUUCAUAUUGAACUGAUGACAAAUUAUUGUUGCCAUUAUAUUGCAUAAAUCGGGGCAUUGUACUUAAUUCAGUGCCGAGAAUUGAUGAGGGGAUCAUCCGUGCACAGCAGGCAAGAAGUACGAGGCGCUGCUUGUGAAAGCAAGGUACACAAGUCUUGUAAACCCUAACAAAGCUGUAUAUAGUAUUGUCUUUGUGUUCAAUGUAAGUGAUGUUGCAAAGCAGCUAAAUAAAGCUCAGGGUAUUAAUUAACUGCAGUUGUGAAAAUUUGUAGUGACCCAAACUAUAAUUUUGAUCUGAAUUCAUUAAAUUUAAAUAAAUAUAUUUAAAUUUGAGUUAUGCAAACCCAUCUUUGAAAAAAGCAAUACCGACAGUUGUUUAAAUUUAAACAUACGACAGUGAAAUCGUUUAAUUGCAACAAAUAUUCACGAAGAUUGCAUUUUAUCUUGAUGUAUACUGUAGUAAUAUGGGUGGGUGGUUGUAGUAUUUGGACUCUCACUCUUACUUAUUCCAUUCCUGAUGAUCAUUGAAAAUCUCUAUCAGUAGCUCCAUCACAAGGCAUUUUUAUUUAUAAAACUUUGUGACGAGUAGCCAGUCAGUGUUGAAUCAAAAGCAAGUUACAGUACAGUACAAGGAAAAAAUUAAUACUCGAUAUAUAUUUUUUCAUUGCAAUAAUGAUUCAUUGUAUGGAGAAUGUUUAAACAAUUGCAUAGGUAUUACUUAGUGUAAUGGUGGUUCUUGACAUUUACCUAGUUGGACUAAAAUUGAUUUGCAAAAUUGUACUGAAUAGCCAUACAAGUCGCCAUAUGAAUUAUAUAUAACUGCCAAUUAUGGAUAACUCUGGCAGGUAAUUUUUGCAUGGAAUAAUUAUUGAAAGUUCAGCAAUAGUUAAACAGUGCCUGUUCAAAUGACAGGCAACAAAUUUCCCUUUGAGAUAGACAGACACGUGCUUUACAAAUGCUUUCCUUCCCCUCUUAAAUGCCCGUUUCAGAUUUGGGUUUGUUCAGAUAAAGUUUGAGUAACUGGUGGGGCAGUUAUUUCUGAAUAAGAAUGUGCAAUAAAUAUGGAACUAGUUUCCCCAGUGGCCAUACACAGCAGUACUGUACUUGAGCAGUGUUCACACACUAAUGGAUGACUCUGCCAUGGCACUAGAGUACAAGGGGCAAGGCAGUCUACUGAGGUUACUGCAUCACCAUUAAUCUCUACAUCAGUCAACCCAACACUAUCAGCAUCCAUCACCACCUUUUCUAUCUAAGUAACAAUGCUCCAUCAACUGUAAUCAAGUUAACAAGUGGAUCAGAACUUCUCGUAUUGAGCAUGAUCAAAGGCAUAUGUUAAACCAAUCCUCGAAUAUUGCAUCUCGAGCACAAAACCUACACUUUGUAAAAAGGCUAAGAAGACAAUUAAGAUGGUCCAAAGAUUUGCAGAGAGACUGGUACCAGAGGUAAGUGAAAUGAUGUAUUAGGAAAGGCCAAGUGAACAAACUACAGAGAGGACAAGAGGCACUGUGAUACCGUAAAAAGUAUAAUGGACAAAGUGGAUAAACCCGUUUGCUGGUGAGGUACAGCAGAAUGAGGAAACACAGGCAGUUCAAAACCAAACCACCACAUAAAUUUAAGGAUAUUCCAGUAUGCGGCAAGUGGUAAAAAGCUAACAAGUUGAAAGAAUCCACCAGUCAGUUUAAAGAGUAAAUGUUAUUGUUUAGUUUGGAGAAGUAAUUACAUUAGGUACAAUAGCUCCAUAAAUACUACCUUACAUCUAGGUCUUUUGAUAUGGAAGUGUAUAAUAUGGAUGUGGGCCUCCUCACUUAAGCGAGGAGGCCAAAAAAAGAAAAGGUACACAAUAAAACUUCAUCUAAUGAAAGAAUACCAAUCUUGUCUCCCUUCCAAAUGAAUAAUUACAUUGGAGGGAGACUUGAAUGUACAAUACUUUUUAUUUGUAACUAACAAUUCAAUAUACUGUGAAGAACUAUGGGUAUCAAUAAUUUAUUUCAUGAAGGUAUCUUGUAGUUUCCUAAUGAGGCUGCAGCAAAUGUUCUACAGUGGUACACACUGGAAGCAUAUAAUCCCAGUCUGUUGCAAAACAAUACCCUAGGCUGCAAGAUAGAGCUCUAGCUGUUGGAUCCCACUUUUCUAGCCACUGGCUGUCUAAUGCAAUGACUCCUGACCUAUUUCCCUAUCAUACCCGCUUUUAAAGUUGUGGAUUGAGUUUGCCUCGUCAAAUUUGACAAAUUAAUAUACAUAUACUGCUGCUUUGAGUCAUUACAUAUCCUCACUACCCUUACACUUAGACUUUCUAACAUCUCUCACAUGAGUUUCAAGCUUCCAUCCGUGCCCCUUUGUUCUAUUCGUAUUCUUUGUAAACAAUUUCUUUGUUUUCCAAUCUGUCGAUCCCUCUUAUUCGUUUGUAUCAUGUCCUCCACUCUCCCUCCUCUCUAACGUCAUCAGAUUUAUUUCCUUUAGUCUUUCCUCAUACUUCGCAGCUCUGGGAAGUCUCUCGUUGCAAACUUCUGCAUCCUUUAGAGCCUCCUUGCGUGUUUUUUUUUCUUCAUGGGUGGGGGGCCAACGAUGGGGUUCUAAAACCGGCCUCACAUAGACUGUGUACAGUGAUCUAAAAGCCUCAUUAUUAAAGUUCCUGAAGUUUAUUCUAAAUUUUGCUAGUGUAGAAUAUGCAGCAGAGGUUAUUCUAUUUGAGCUUCUGGAGUUAUGUUUAGUAUGUCCACUCCCAGGUCUUUCUCUAGUUGUUAUAGGAAGGUAGUUUCCCUUGGGUGUGUGUGUGUGUGUGUAUACACAUAUAAAUAUUAAAAUAGGCUUCUUGUUUUCGACAAAUCUAAUUAGUCUGUCGGUCUCCCUCUCCCCUCCUCUCACUCCUUAUUCAUUCAUUCUUUCCGUUCUCCCUCCUUUCCUCCUUCUCACCCUCUCACUCCCUCCCCCGUCCCCCCAAUACACAUUGCUCAACUCUCUGCUUUCACGGAAAUGUAAACUUGUCUUCGAUAAGCCUACCCGUACACUCUCACUAUUAAACUACCAACACAUCUGUUGACCAGACCGCACACUAGAAGGUGAAGGGACGACGACGUUUCGGUCCGUCCUGGACCAUUCUCAAGCUCUAAAGGAUGCAGAAGUUUGCAACGAAACUUCACAAUCGACUUGAGAAUGGUCCAGGACGGACCGAAACGUCGUCAUCCCUUCGCCUUCUAGUGUGUGGUCUGGUCAACAUACUUUAGCCAUGUUAUUGUGACUCAUCGCCUGCAUACCAACACAUCUAUUGCAGUUAUGUUACCACCUGACACUACCACCACCCUACAUACAUAGCACCUGCCUGCGAUCACUGCACUACUGUUAUCCCAGAGAUAUAGGCCCGUCUUGUAACUGCCAACAACCAAAGGCUUAAUUUUGCUUUUUAAUUUAUAAUUAGUUCAGGAUAAAUAAUUUUGCUAGGCGGCGAUGUACUCCAGUUCCGUCCAGUUCAGUAGAGCAGUAGAGGAAGGAAUGGCCUAAGAGAACUUGCUGUUAAUUUUAUUUAUCUGAACGAGUUGGGAAAAAGAGUACACGUCUAAUAUUUUACUACAGUAUUUGUAUACGUUGUGAAUAUUGAAAAAUUAAGAGUGGGAAUCAUAGAGCCAGCACAAUUAAGAGUGAAUAAAUUAUAGGCUAUAUUGAAUGUUAUUAUGUAUUGUACUUAAAAUUUAAUUUCAAAGGCCUAAAUAUGUGUACCUGUCUACUAAUUUUAGGUGACAGCCGCUAUAGUUAUCGCCGUAAAUGACUCGAUCAAUGGUUAUUUUAGUUUGUAUUUUCCCCGAUCAUUUUUAUCAACAGUUUUUAAGUCUUCCGUUAUGGAUAAUUAAUAUGCAAUGGAGAAAAUGCCGAAUAUAUUUAUGCAAUAAGUGUUACAAUAAGACAUUGUUGUAGUAUAAGAACAGUAUGCUCUCGAAUCCUAUUCCACUAUCGGUUUAUUAGGCUAUAUAAGAAAAUUGUCCCUCCCCCCUCAUUCUCUGGCUGCUUUUAUUCCUCCUUUCCCUCAGGCUUCCUGUCCCGUUAAGGCCACGAGGGAGGCAUUCUUAGUUUCAAAAGUACUUUACUGUCACUGUUAGCCAUUAUAAUUAAAACCUGUUAAAUUUUGCCCCCCUUUCAUAUAAAUAUGUAGCUUAAUGCAGCACUGUAAUGUGACAAUGUAACUUUUUCUUUUUUUUUUGUCUUGGUGAUACAAUGUCGACUGUUCAUCCCCCAGGGAACUUUAUAUUUUGCUAGUCUAGGUUUUCUCAGUUUAAAUAACCUUAUUUUUUUACAGGACGAAAUGUGUUUGUAUGGAGCUAAUAUAUAAUAACUUGGUGGGUGUCGUUAAAUGAAGUUGCUAGCACUGUAAUAUAUAUACUGGUAAGCACAACUGCCCAUCACUUUCCCCCGCCACAUCAUUCCAUGGAUCUCUCUAUAAGGGUCAAAGGACCUCCCCACCCACCCCCCCUUUACUAACAAAUUGUAUCUUAUAGGUAACUUAAGCUGUCCAUUUGUAUCGCGAGUUUGGUGGUUUAUAAAUUACGUGCCAUGUACAAUUUUGGCAAGUUCUUGACUGUGGACGGAGGACAAUGCGUGUCUACUCCAUUACUGACUGGGAGCAGUCAAGUUGGAUGACAAACUUUAACAUGUAAUAUGUGGAGUCUGAUCCUGGAAGUGUUCCAGGUGACACAAAUGUACGUAGUGACCUUUCCAGUGUUCAAGUGAAUUUUAUCUCGAACGCAUUUUUUUAUGCAGCUUGAAUUGUAUAAAUCUUUAAGUAAAAGUGGGGUAAAAUUCGAAAUGGACAUUCCCAUCAUUAUGUAUAUGACCAAAAUAAAAUUAUUGUAAAUAUGAA
rnacentral:misc_RNA from 1 species